GGGACAUGAGCCCUGACUCACUUUAUCCACGACCUAAGAGAUAUAACCUAAAUGACCUAGGGCUAUAAAGAGGUGGCUGAAAGAAAAAAUAAGGGUGAAGAAAUUGGGCUCUGUCAGCACUCUAGACUUGAGCCUUCUCUACCAUCGUUUUCAAUCCUUAGGUUGGACUGAUUUCUCUCCUCAAUCCCCUCUUCUUUAUUCCUCACAUUGAUUUAUUGAUAUUCCCAGAUAUGAUUUCAUUCGUAGUUUGACUUGAAAAUCAAGUACAUACACCGGUUUUAUCCCCCAGCGGGUAUACUAUUGGAGAAUGGAUUUUUAAUUUCUUAGGGUGCUCCGUUCUAUUUGUUUUGGAUUUCGGCGUUUCGCUCAUGCACUCAAGCACUGUGUUUCUGGCGUUUACGAGAUGGAAGGGUUUUUGCAGCAGGUUUGUUGCUCCUUACUCUUGUUCCGGUUAAUUCUGCCUCUUCUUCGGCGGCCAUCGGCAAUGGGUCAUGGCUGGAUGUUGCUGGAAUGAGUGGUCAAGCUGGAUAACAUCCGGGGCGUGGGUCUUCUACUGCUCGCCAUGCUCGGUGGUGGUUCUACAUUGUAUAUGGAGUUUAAAGUGAUGAUGGCUCUCUAGUAAAGUCUCGCUCCCUUCUAUCAUGUUUCCAUGCGACCCCCUAUUAUCCUCGUUUCUCGCAUUGUGCUAUGUGGGGUCCCUUUUUGGUUCAUAGGUCAAACCCUAUAAUGUUGGUGCGUGGGGAAGGUGCAAUGCUUGAUCAUUCUAUAAAGUUGGGCCCAUUACUUAUGGACUCUGAUACAGAUGCAGAUGCUGACAAGUACAUGGUUGAAUUAGUGGGGUUGUCAUAUGGGUUUGCUACAUAGUUUCGCCGUGAUAUAAGGCCAACUUUGCUACCUUCCAUUAAACGCCUUUGAUGAUGGUUCUAACCCAAGGCAGGUCCAAUGGUUGUUGGGUUGCUGGAUGUGGGUUCUGGUUACCAGUCUCUUUGAUAAGGUCUGUAAAGAUAUUAAUAUACCGCGUCCACCCAAUUUGGAACCCACGCCAGGGUCAAGUCAAGUACCACGAUAAUGGCCUUUGUGUUGCGUUACAACAGCUUUGCUUUGUUUUUGGAUGUUAUGGAGGGGAUUGAAUACCUUUUGUGGUUGUUGAAUUGUUGUGUUUCUCUCAGAUGGUAGCUUUGUUUGUUGCCUGUUGUUUGUCUGAUCACAUUCGUGUGUUCGCAAUAAAUGUUCUUUAUAAUUGUGUUA